rnacentral:rRNA from 1 species
UACAACGAAGAGUUUGAUCCUGGCUCAGGAUGAACGCUAGCGGCAGGCCUUAUACAUGCAAGUCGAGGGGCAGCAUAAGAUUGCUUGCAAUCUGAUGGCGACCGGCGAACGGGUGCGUAACGCGUAUGCAACUUACCUUUUACUAGGAGAUAGCCAAGAGAAAUUUUGAUUAAUAUCCUAUACAAUUAUUUUUUCGCAUGAAUUAAUAAUAAAAGCUCAGGCGGUAAAAGAUGGGCAUGCGUCCUAUUAGCUAGUAGGUGAGGUAAAAGCUCACCUAGGCAACGAUAGGUAGGGGUCCUGAGAGGGAGAUCCCCCACACUGGUACUGAGACACGGACCAGACUUCUACGGAAGGCAGCAGUAAGGAAUAUUGG